rnacentral:rRNA from 1 species
AUUGAACGCUGGCGGCAGGCUUAAAACAUGCAAGUCGAGCGAGCGGCGGACUGGUGAGUGAUGUCUGGAAAACUGCCUGAUGGAGGGGGAUCACUACUGGAAACGGUAGCUAAUACCGCGUACCAUCCGGUGUGCCCAGAUGGGAUUAGCUAGUAGGUGGGGUAGUGGUUCACGUUGGCGGCGAUCGCUAGCUGGUCUGAGAGGAUGACCAGCCACAUCGGAACUGAGACAGUGUCCAGAAUCCUACGGUAGGCAGGAGGGGGGAAUAGGGCACAAUGGGCGCAAGCCUGAUGCAGCCAUGCCGCGUGGGUGAAGAGGGCCUUCGGGUUGUAAAGCACUUUCGGCGAGGAGGCGGUACUCGCAGAAGAAGCACCGGCUAACUCCGUGCCAGCCGCCGCGGUAAUAC